rnacentral:tRNA from 1 species
GCCGCCUUAGUCUAAUGGUUAGGACGCUUGCCUCUCACGCAGGUAUCAGGGGUUCAAAUCCCCUAGGCGGUGCCA